rnacentral:rRNA from 1 species
GACGAACGCUGGCGGCGUGCUUAACACAUGCAAGUCGAACGGAAAGGCCCUGCUUUUGUGGGGUGCUCGCGUGGCGAACGUGUGAGUAACACGUGAGUAACCUGCCCUUGACUUUGGGAUAACUUCAGGAAACUGGUGCUACUACCGGAUAGGAGCUCCUGCUGCAUGGUGGGGUUUGGACCGUUUCGGCGGUUGUGGAUGGACUCGCGGUUUAUCAGCUUGUUGGUGGGGUAGUGGCUUACCAAGGCUUUGACGGGUAGCCGGCCUGAGAGGGUGACCGGCCACAUUGGGACUGAGAGACGGACCAGACUCCUACGGGAGGCAGCAGUGGGGAAUAUUGCACAAUGGGCGGAAGCCUGAUGCAGCAACGCCGCGUGCGGGAUGACGGCCUUCGGGUGGUAAACCGCUUUAGCCUGUGACGAAGCGUGAGUGACGGUAAUGGGUAAAGAAGCACCGGCUAACUACGUG